rnacentral:misc_RNA from 1 species
GGGCGAUCCUCUCUCAUUCGCCACUAUUUAAUCCCAUCUCACAAGAGAGAGAGAAAGAGGAGACAGAGAGAGAGAGAGAUGGAGGAGCCGAAGGCGGUGCUUCUGCUGAAGCUGUCAGCAGCGGUGGCGCUCCUCCUCAUCUACGGCGCCGCCGGAGUCCUCUCCGACGCCUCCGACCACCGUUACAGCCAGGACGACCCCGUCCCACUCUACGCCAACAAGGUCGGCCCCUUCCACAACCCCAGCGAAACUUAUCGGUAUUAUGAUCUCCCGUUCUGCAUUCCGGAUCAUGUGAAG